CCCGUCUCAGGGUCGUACCUGGAGAGUUUCGAGCACUCUACCAGUCUUGACUACGGGAGGGAGAGUCAUGCAGAGGUAUACCAAUUCCAUUCCUAGCUUAGGCAGUGGCUAGCGAGUGGAAGGCAAUCUUUUACAAGU